GUGUUUUUUAAGGUUCUCUUGUCAGAGGAUUUUUGGCCACAAACUGAGCAGCAAAAAGGUUUCUCACCAGCGUGGGUUCUUGUGUGGUUAAUUCGGCUUCCCUUAAAAGAGAAUUUUUGGCCACAGUAUGAACAGGCAAAAGGCUUCUCACCAGUGUGGGUUCUCCUGUGAUUUUUUAGGUUUUCCCUUCUGAGAGAAUCUUUGGCCACAUUCUGAACAGGCAAAGGGUUUCUCACCAGUGUGUGU